UGAUGAGCUUGGAUGGUACACAUAAUGUCACAUCAGCAUCCAGCUCUGCAGGAUCAGACGAUACUGAAAACAAAAUGCACGGCGAACUGGGAGCUAUGAACUGGGAAGCAGAUGUUCUUCUAAGGGACACUCUAGAGG